rnacentral:rRNA from 1 species
UACAGAGGUCCCAAGCGUUGUUCGGAUUCACUGGGCGUAAAGGGUGCGCAGGUGGGUUUGCAAGUUCGAUGUGAAAGCCCCGGGCUUAACCCGGGAAUGGCAUUGGAUACUGCAGAUCUGGAGGAUCGGAGGGGGACUGGAAUUCUUGGUGUAGCAGUGAAAUGCGUAGAUAUCAAGAGGAACACCAGUGGCGAAGGCGAGUCCCUGGACGAUACCUGACACUGAGGCACGAAAGCUAGGGGAGCAAACAGGA